GCUGAACUUAAGCAUAUCAUAGGCCCGAAGGAAAA
rnacentral:rRNA from 1 species